rnacentral:rRNA from 1 species
AUACGUAGGGAGCGAGCGUUGUCCGGAAUUACUGGGUGUAAAGGGUGCGUAGGCGGGACUGCAAGUCAGAUGUGAAAUGCCGGGGCUCAACCCCGGAGCUGCAUUUGAAACUGUGGUUCUUGAGUGAGGUAGAGGUAAGCGGAAUUCCUAGUGUAGCGGUGAAAUGCGUAGAGAUUAGGAGGAACAUCGGUGGCGAAUGCGGAUUACAGGGCCUUUACUGACGCAGAGGCACGAAAGCGUGGGGAGCAAACAGGAAUAGAUACCCUGGUAGUCCACAUUGUAAACGAUGAAUGCUAGGUGUAGGGGGUAUCGACCCCUUCUGUACCGCAGUCAACACAAUAAGCAUUCCGCCUGGGGAGUACGGCCGCAAGGUUGAAACUCAAAUGAAUUUACGGGG